GGGGAUGUAGCUCAGUGGUACAGUGCUUGCCUAACAAGUAAGAGAUCCUAGGUUUAAUUCCAGGCAUCUCAA
rfam:Ictidomys tridecemlineatus contig039039, whole genome shotgun sequence.